rnacentral:sRNA from 1 species
UGACAUGCUCUAGCUGAACCUGUCAAGCUCCUGUCAGCAGGACCUGUCCAGUCAUCAUUAUAGAGGCUUCCUCUACCAGAAGAUGGGAGUCAGAUGAGAGAUCUACAGCCAGACCUUAUUUGGAGAGAGAGUUUAAAUUAGAGGGGCAGGUCCAUUGGGUCUCUACCCUUGUAUCUCAGGGAAUACUAAAGAAUAAAGAAUUAAUUAUAUGAGUAAGAGAUGAUGAAAGAUGUGAGGACAACAUGUCCCACUGUAUCAACUCAGAAGAUCUCACAUGGGCUAACAGAGAAUGAAGCAGCAAGCACAGGCCUGCAUGAAUAUCAAACAUGUCCUCUGUAUAUAUGUUAUACCUAGUAACUGAACAUGUUCAAGUGACUCCUAAAAGUGGGAGUAAUUCUGUCUUUGAUUCAUUUGCCUGUUUAUGGGACUCUUCCUUCUUUUGGCUUAUCUUUUCAUGUGUUGAUAUGGGUGUGUGUUAGCAGUAUUAUAUCUUAUUUUGUUUUGUUUGUUUCUUGUCCCUUGGAAGCCUGAUCCUUUCUGAAAGUCAACAGAUUUAGAGUGGAAAUAUGGCAGAGGGAAGAUGGAAUAAUUUUAUGGAAUAAGGAGUGGAAAUUGUAUUUGGGGUGUUGUGGCUAAGUUCCUUGAAUAGUA